rnacentral:rRNA from 1 species
AUCAUGUAUGCUUUUCUAAUUAUAAUGGGGGUGGGGGAUGAGAGUAAGGUAAAUAGUCUUUCACUCGGCCACACACCGGAAUUUACUUUGAGGAAACUAAAGUGUUCAUAGCAAAUAAGUGUUUGAAUACUACAGCAUGGAAUAACAAAAUAGGACUUUGGUAUUGUUUUGUUGGAGUAGAGAAACCAAAGUAAAGAUGAAUAGGGACAGUUGGGGGCAUUGGAAUUUGAUAGUCAGAGGUGAAAUUCAUGGAUUUAUCAAAGACCAACAAAGGCGAAAGCAUUUGCCAAGGAUGUUUUCAUUGAUCAAGAACGAAAGUCAGGGGAUCGAAGACGAUUAGAUACCGUCGUAGUCUUGACCGUAAACGAUGCCGACUUGGGGGGAGGUGCGAGAUGAGAAGCGCAUCACAACCAAAGGAGAAAUCAAAGUGUAUGGGUUCUGGGGGGAGUAUAGUCGCAAGGCCGAAACUUGAAGGAAUUGACGGAAGGGCACCACCAGGAGUGGAGCCUGCGGCUUAAUUUGACUCAACACGGGAAAACUUACCAGGUCCGGACAUGAUGAGGAUUGACAGAUUGAGAGCACUUUUAAGAUUUCAUGGGAGGUGGUGCAUGGCCGUUCUUAGUUGGUGGAGUGAUUUGUCAGGUUAAUUCCGAUAACGAGCGAGACCCCGUCAGGGUGAUGGAGAGUUGAAGAUGAGUCUUUAAUGUCUUACCUCCCUGGCACACCCCA